AUUGAACGCUGGCGGCAGGCCUAACACAUGCAAGUCGAGCGGAUGAAGGGGGCUUGCUCCUGGAUUCAGCGGCGGACGGGUGAGUAAUGCCUAGGAAUCUGCCUGGUAGUGGGGGAUAACGUCCGGAAACGGGCGCUAAUACCGCAUACGUCCUGAGGGAGAAAGUGGGGGAUCUUCGGACCUCACGCUAUCAGAUGAGCCUAGGUCGGAUUAGCUAGUUGGUGGGGUAAAGGCCUACCAAGGCGACGAUCCGUAACUGGUCUGAGAGGAUGAUCAGUCACACUGGAACUGAGACACGGUCCAGACUCCUACGGGAGGCAGCAGUGGGGAAUAUUGGACAAUGGGCGAAAGCCUGAUCCAGCCAUGCCGCGUGUGUGAAGAAGGUCUUCGGAUUGUAAAGCACUUUAAGUUGGGAGGAAGGGCAGUAAGUUAAUACCUUGCUGUUUUGACGUUACCAACAGAAUAAGCACCGGCUAACUUCGUGCCAGCAGCCGCGGUAAUACGAAGGGUGCAAGCGUUAAUCGGAAUUACUGGGCGUAAAGCGCGCGUAGGUGGUUCAGCAAGUUGGAUGUGAAAUCCCCGGGCUCAACCUGGGAACUGCAUCCAAAACUACUGAGCUAGAGUACGGUAGAGGGUGGUGGAAUUUCCUGUGUAGCGGUGAAAUGCGUAGAUAUAGGAAGGAACACCAGUGGCGAAGGCGACCACCUGGACUGAUACUGACACUGAGGUGCGAAAGCGUGGGGAGCAAACAGGAUUAGAUACCCUGGUAGUCCACGCCGUAAGCGAUGUCGACUAGCCGUUGGGAUCCUUGAGAUCUUAGUGGCGCAGCUAACGCGAUAAGUC
rnacentral:rRNA from 1 species